AAUCAACGCUGGCGGCGUGCCUCAGACAUGCAAGUCGAACGCGAAAGUCCCCUUCGGGGGACAAGUAGAGUGGCGCACGGGUGAGUAACACGUAGGUAAUCUACCUUUGGAUGGGGAAUAACAACCGGAAACGGUUGCUAAUACCGCAUAAUGCAGCGGCACCUAAUGGUGACAGUUGUUAAAGCGGGGGAUCGAAAGACCUCGCGUCUGAAGAGGAGCCUGCGGCGGAUUAGCUAGNGGUAA
rnacentral:rRNA from 1 species